UUUCCGUAGGUGAACCCGCGGAAGGAUCAUUAUUGAAUAACCGAUGUGAGAGGGCUGUCGCUGACCCGCUAGGUUGUGAACACCCCAGUACCCCCACACACAUCCAUCUCUCCCCUAUAUGCACAACUGAGUGGAUCCCCCGUCCGCUUGUUACGAACGGGGCAUAAGUUUUCACACAAUCUUUGUAUUCUGUGUAGACUUUCUUUUUUGUUUUUCUGAUCACGCAAUCCAUACAACUAUCAACAACGGAGCACUUGGCUCCCGCAUCGAUCAAGAAAC
rnacentral:misc_RNA from 1 species